rnacentral:rRNA from 1 species
UCUCCUACGGGAGGCAGCAGUGGGGAAUUUUGGACAAUGGGGGCAACCCUGAUCCAGCCAUUCCGCGUGAGUGAAGAAGGCCUUCGGGUUGUAAAGCUCUUUCGGCAGGAACGAAACGGCGAGCUCUAACAUAGCUUGCUAAUGACGGUACCUGAAGAAGAAGCACCGGCUAACUACGUGCCAGCAGCCGCGGUAAUACGUAGGGUGCGAGCGUUAAUCGGAAUUACUGGGCGUAAAGCGUGCGCAGGCGGUUGAGUAGGACAGGUGUGAAUUCCCCGGGCUUAACCUGGGAACUGCGCUUGUGACUGCACGGCUAGAGUAUGGCAGAGGGGGGUGGAAUUCCACGUGUAGCAGUGAAAUGCGUAGAGAUGUGGAGGAACACCGAUGGCGAAGGCAGCCCCCUGGGCCAAUACUGACGCUCAUGCACGAAAGCGUGGGGAGCAAACAGGAUUAGAUACCCCGGUAGUC